ACAUUAGACGAAUCAUCUGGAAAGAUGAAUCAAAGAAGGUAAUAAUCCUGUAGUCGAAAAUGUUGUCUCUCUUGAGUGGAUCCUGAGUACGACGGAGCACGUGAAAUUCCGUCGGAAUCUGGGAGGACCAUCUCCUAAGGCUAAAUACUCUCUAGUGACCGAUAGUGAACCAGUACCGUGAGGGAAAGGUGAAAAGCACCCCGGAAGGGGAGUGAAAUAGAACCUGAAACCGUGUGCUUACAAGUAGUCAGAGCCCGUUAAUGGGUGAUGGCGUGCCUUUUGUAGAAUGAACCGGCGAGUUACGAUUUGAUGCAAGGUUAAGCAGUAAAUGUGGAGCCGUAGCGAAAGCGAGUCUGAAUAGGGCGUUUAGUAUUUGGUCGUAGACCCGAAACCAGGUGAUCUACCCUUGGUCAGGUUGAAGUUCAGGUAACACUGAAUGGAGGACCGAACCGACUUACGUUGAAAAGUGAGCGGAUGAACUGAGGGUAGCGGAGAAAUUCCAAUCGAACCUGGAGAUAGCUGGUUCUCUCCGAAAUAGCUUUAGGGCUAGCCUCAAGUGAUGAUUAUUGGAGGUAGAGCACUGUUUGGACGAGGGGCCCCUCUCGGGUUACCGAAUUCAGACAAACUCCGAAUGCCAAUUAAUUUAACUUGGGAGUCAGAACAUGGGUGAUAAGGUCCGUGUUCGAAAGGGAAACAGCCCAGACCACCAGCUAAGGUCCCAAAAUAUAUGUUAAGUGGAAAAGGAUGUGGCGUUGCCCAGACAACUAGGAUGUUGGCUUAGAAGCAGCCAUCAUUUAAAGAGUGCGUAAUAGCUCACUAGUCGAGUGACACUGCGCCGA
rnacentral:rRNA from 1 species